rnacentral:rRNA from 1 species
UGUGGCUGGGGGUGAAAGGCCAAUCAAACCGGGAGAUAGCUGGUUCUCCCCGAAAGCUAUUUAGGUAGCGCCUCGUGAAUUCAUCUCCGGGGGUAGAGCACUGUUUCGGCAAGGGGGUCAUCCCGACUUACCAACCCGAUGCAAACUGCGAAUACCGGAGAAUGUUAUCACGGGAGACACACGGCGGGUGCUAACGUCCGUCGUGAAGAGGGAAACAACCCAGACCGCCAGCUAAGGUCCCAAAGUCAUGGUUAAGUGGGAAACGAUGUGGGAAGGCCCAGACAGCCAGGAUGUUGGCUUAGAAGCAGCCAUCAUUUAAAGAAAGCGUAAUAGCUCACUGGUCGAGUCGGCCUGCGCGGAAGAUGUAACGGGGCUAAACCAUGCACCGAAGCUGCGGCAGCGACACUAUGUGUUGUUGGGUAGGGGAGCGUUCUGUAAGCCUGUGAAGGUGUGCUGUGAGGCAUGCUGGAGGUAUCAGAAGUGCGAAUGCUGACAUAAGUAACGAUAAAGCGGGUGAAAAGCCCGCUCGCCGGAAGACCAAGGGUUCCUGUCCAACGUUAAUCGGGGCAGGGUGAGUCGACCCCUAAGGCGAGGCCGAAAGGCGUAGUCGAUGGGAAACAGGUUAAUAUUCCUGUACUUGGUGUUACUGCGAAGGGGGGACGGAGAAGGCUAUGUUGGCCGGGCGACGGUUGUCCCGGUUUAAGCGUGUAGGCUGGUUUUCCAGGCAAAUCCGGAAAAUCAAGGCUGAGGCGUGAUGACGAGGCACUACGGUGCUGAAGCAACAAAUGCCCUGCUUCCAGGAAAAGCCUCUAAGCAUCAGGUAACAUCAAAUCGUACCCCAAACCGACACAGGUGGUCAGGUAGAGAAUACCAAGGCGCUUGAGAGAACUCGGGUGAAGGAACUAGGCAAAAUGGUGCCGUAACUUCGGGAGAAGGCACGCUGAUAUGUAGGUGAAGUCCCUCGCGGAUGGAGCUGAAAUCAGUCGAAGAUACCAGCUGGCUGCAACUGUUUAUUAAAAACACAGCACUGUGCAAACACGAAAGUGGACGUAUACGGUGUGACGCCUGCCCGGUGCCGGAAGGUUAAUUGAUGGGGUUAGCGGUAACGCGAAGCUCUUGAUCGAAGCCCCGGUAAACGGCGGCCGUAACUAUAACGGUCCUAAGGUAGCGAAAUUCCUUGUCGGGUAAGUUCCGACCUGCACGAAUGGCGUAAUGAUGGCCAGGCUGUCUCCACCCGAGACUCAGUGAAAUUGAACUCGCUGUGAAGAUGCAGUGUACCCGCGGCAAGACGGAAAGACCCCGUGAACCUUUACUAUAGCUUGACACUGAACAUUGAGCCUUGAUGUGUAGGAUAGGUGGGAGGCUUUGAAGUGUGGACGCCAGUCUGCAUGGAGCCGACCUUGAAAUACCACCCUUUAAUGUUUGAUGUUCUAACGUUGGCCCGUUAUCCGGGUUGCGGACAGUGUCUGGUGGGUAGUUUGACUGGGGCGGUCUCCUCCUAAAGAGUAACGGAGGAGCACGAAGGUUGGCUAAUCCUGGUCGGACAUCAGGAGGUUAGUGCAAUGGCAUAAGCCAGCUUGACUGCGAGCGUGACGGCGCGAGCAGGUGCGAAAGCAGGUCAUAGUGAUCCGGUGGUUCUGAAUGGAAGGGCCAUCGCUCAACGGAUAAAAGGUACUCCGGGGAUAACAGGCUGAUACCGCCCAAGAGUUCAUAUCGACGGCGGUGUUUGGCACCUCGAUGUCGGCUCAUCACAUCCUGGGGCUGAAGUAGGUCCCAAGGGUAUGGCUGUUCGCCAUUUAAAGUGGUACGCGAGCUGGGUUUAGAACGUCGUGAGACAGUUCGGUCCCUAUCUGCCGUGGGCGCUGGAGAACUGAGGGGGGCUGCUCCUAGUACGAGAGGACCGGAGUGGACGCAUCACUGGUGUUCGGGUUGUCAUGCCAAUGGCACUGCCCGGUAGCUAAAUGCGGAAGAGAUAAGUGCUGAAAGCAUCUAAGCACGAAACUUGCCCCGAGAUGAGUUCUCCCUGACUCCUUGAGAGUCCUGAAGGAACGUUGAAGACGACGACGUUGAUAGGCCGGGUGUGUAAGCGCAGCGAUGCGUUGAGCUAACCGGUACUAAUGAACCGUGAGGCUUAACCUU